CACCCCGCGUGUGGGAAGAAGGCCUUCGGGUUGUAAACUCCUGUCAGUUGGAACGAAAGGCGGGGGGUUGAAUAGGGGGGGGUCUUGACGGUACCUCCAAAGGAAGCCCCGGCUAACUCCGUGCCAGCAGCCGGGGUAAUACGGAGGGGGCAAGCGUUUUUCGGAAUUAUUGGGCGUAAAGGGCGCGCAGGCGGCUUGUUAAGUCAAAGGUGAAAUCCCUCGGCUCAACCGAGGAAUUGCUUUURAAACUGCCUGGCUAGAGUCGGGGAGGGGGAAGCGGAAUUCCCGGUGUWGCGGUGAAAUGCGUAAAUAUUGGGAGGAACACCAGGGGCSAAGGCGGCUUUCUGGCCCAUUUCUGACGCUUARGCKCGAAAUCGUGGGGAGCAAACAGGAUUAGAUACCCUGGUAGYCCCCSCCGUAAACRAUCCCCAMGGGGUGUGCGGGUAUCGACCCCUYCCCUCCSCAGCUWACGCAUWAGUGCUCGCCUGGGGA
rnacentral:rRNA from 1 species